AUGAUGCGAAAAGGGCUAUUUAAUGCCCUCUCACGGCGAAAACGCGGGUUCGAACCCCGCUGGGACCGCCA
rnacentral:tRNA from 1 species